rnacentral:rRNA from 1 species
GGUUAAGCGACUAAGCGUACACGGUGGAUGCCCUGGCAGUCAGAGGCGAUGAAGGGCGUGCUAAUCUGCGAUAAGCGCCGGUAAGGUGAUAUGAACCGUUAUAACCGGCGAUACCCGAAUGGGGAAACCCAGUGUGAUUCGUCACACUAUCAUUAACUGAAUCCAUAGGUUAAUGAGGCGAACCGGGGGAACUGAAACAUCUAAGUACCCCGAGGAAAAGAAAUCAACCGAGAUUCCCCCAGUAGCGGCGAGCGAACGGGGAGGAGCCCAGAGCCUGAAUCAGCAUGUGUGUUAGUGGAAGCGUCUGGAAAGGCGCGCGAUACAGGGUGACAGCCCCGUACACAAAAGCGCAUGUGCUGUGAGCUCGAUGAGUAGGGCGGGACACGUGGUAUCCUGUCUGAAUAUGGGGGGACCAUCCUCCAAGGCUAAAUACUCCUGACUGACCGAUAGUGAACCAGUACCGUGAGGGAAAGGCGAAAAGAACCCCGGCGAGGGGAGUGAAAAAGAACCUGAAACCGUGUACGUACAAGCAGUGGGAGCACAGGUUUACCUGUGUGACUGCGUACCUUUUGUAUAAUGGGUCAGCGACUUAUAUUCUGUAGCAAGGUUAACCGUAUAGGGGAGCCGUAGGGAAACCGAGUCUUAACCGGGCGUUAAGUUGCAGGGUAUAGACCCGAAACCCGGUGAUCUAGCCAUGGGCAGGUUGAAGGUUGGGUAACACUAACUGGAGGACCGAACCGACUAAUGUUGAAAAAUUAGCGGAUGACCUGUGGCUGGGGGUGAAAGGCCAAUCAAACCGGGAGAUAGCUGGUUCUCCCCGAAAGCUAUUUAGGUAGCGCCUCGUGAAUUCAUCUCCGGGGGUAGAGCACUGUUUCGGCUAGGGGGCCAUCCCGGCUUACCAACCCGAUGCAAACUGCGAAUACCGGAGAAUGUUAUCACGGGAGACACACGGCGGGUGCUAACGUCCGUCGUGAAGAGGGAAACAACCCAGACCGCCAGCUAAGGUCCCAAAGUCAUGGUUAAGUGGGAAACGAUGUGGGAAGGCCCAGACAGCCAGGAUGUUGGCUUAGAAGCAGCCAUCAUUUAAAGAAAGCGUAAUAGCUCACUGGUCGAGUCGGCCUGCGCGGAAGAUGUAACGGGGCUAAACCAUGCACCGAAGCUGCGGCAGCGAACGUAUCACUUAAAGCGAUUCAGCGGGUUACGAUUGACGGAGCGAAGCGACGUCAAAGCGUAUACAAAGUCGAGUCGGUUUAAGGAUACGUUCGUUGGGUAGGGGAGCGUUCUGUAAGCCUGUGAAGGUGGCCUGUGAGGGUUGCUGGAGGUAUCAGAAGUGCGAAUGCUGACAUAAGUAACGAUAAAGCGGGUGAAAAGCCCGCUCGCCGGAAGACCAAGGGUUCCUGUCCAACGUUAAUCGGGGCAGGGUGAGUCGACCCCUAAGGCGAGGCCGAAAGGCGUAGUCGAUGGGAAACGGGUUAAUAUUCCCGUACUUGGUGUUACUGCGAAGGGGGGACGGAGAAGGCUAUGUUGGCCGGGCGACGGUUGUCCCGGUUUAAGCGUGUAGGUGUGUGUUCCAGGUAAAUCCGGUUCACUUUAACACUGAGGCGUGAUGACGAGGCACCACGGUGCUGAAGCAACAAAUGCCCUGCUUCCAGGAAAAGCCUCUAAGCAUCAGGUAACAUCAAAUCGUACCCCAAACCGACACAGGUGGUCAGGUAGAGAAUACCAAGGCGCUUGAGAGAACUCGGGUGAAGGAACUAGGCAAAAUGGUGCCGUAACUUCGGGAGAAGGCACGCUGAUAUGUAGGUGAAGCGGUUUACCCGUGGAGCUGAAAUCAGUCGAAGAUACCAGCUGGCUGCAACUGUUUAUUAAAAACACAGCACUGUGCAAACACGAAAGUGGACGUAUACGGUGUGACGCCUGCCCGGUGCCGGAAGGUUAAUUGAUGGGGUCAGCGCAAGCGAAGCUCCUGAUCGAAGCCCCGGUAAACGGCGGCCGUAACUAUAACGGUCCUAAGGUAGCGAAAUUCCUUGUCGGGUAAGUUCCGACCUGCACGAAUGGCGUAAUGAUGGCCAGGCUGUCUCCACCCGAGACUCAGUGAAAUUGAACUCGCUGUGAAGAUGCAGUGUACCCGCGGCAAGACGGAAAGACCCCGUGAACCUUUACUAUAGCUUGACACUGAACAUUGAGCCUUGAUGUGUAGGAUAGGUGGGAGGCUUUGAAGCGUGGACGCCAGUCUGCGUGGAGCCAACCUUGAAAUACCACCCUUUAAUGUUUGAUGUUCUAACGUGGACCCGUAAUCCGGGUUGCGGACAGUGUCUGGUGGGUAGUUUGACUGGGGCGGUCUCCUCCUAAAGAGUAACGGAGGAGCACGAAGGUUGGCUAAUCCUGGUCGGACAUCAGGAGGUUAGUGCAAUGGCAUAAGCCAGCUUGACUGCGAGCGUGACGGCGCGAGCAGGUGCGAAAGCAGGUCAUAGUGAUCCGGUGGUUCUGAAUGGAAGGGCCAUCGCUCAACGGAUAAAAGGUACUCCGGGGAUAACAGGCUGAUACCGCCCAAGAGUUCAUAUCGACGGCGGUGUUUGGCACCUCGAUGUCGGCUCAUCACAUCCUGGGGCUGAAGUAGGUCCCAAGGGUAUGGCUGUUCGCCAUUUAAAGUGGUACGCGAGCUGGGUUUAGAACGUCGUGAGACAGUUCGGUCCCUAUCUGCCGUGGGCGCUGGAGAACUGAGGGGGGCUGCUCCUAGUACGAGAGGACCGGAGUGGACGCAUCACUGGUGUUCGGGUUGUCAUGCCAAUGGCACUGCCCGGUAGCUAAAUGCGGAAGAGAUAAGUGCUGAAAGCAUCUAAGCACGAAACUUGCCCCGAGAUGAGUUCUCCCUGAGACUUAGAGUCUCCUGAAGGAACGUUGAAGACGACGACGUUGAUAGGCCGGGUGUGUAAGCGCAGCGAUGCGUUGAGCUAACCGGUACUAAUGAACCGUGAGGCUUAACCUU